ensembl:lncRNA
GUUUGGGGCUGGGGGCGGGGACGCUGCGCGCACCGAGCAGGGCGCGGGCGGCGGGGCGGGGCGGGGCGACCCGGGAAUCUCUGUACCCGCCGCGCGAGCGGGGAGCCCAGGCCGGGGAAAAGGCAGGAAGCGCCGACUUCAGACGCCUCCCGCAGACGAGCAACGCAGUGUGGCCACGGGCCCCCGCUCCCAGGUCGGCGCCGACCACGGAGGGCGAGCAGACGGGGCGCAGCGGCUGCUUCUAGGCUCCAGGAAGGGGAGCGGAGCCGCCCGGACGGCCCGUCACCUGCUCCGACCGCCGCUGCAGAGGGCUCUCCCCACCAAGGGACUGGGGCCGCGGCCCGGAACGGGACCUGCGAGUUUCGGCCGCCGCCUGCCAAGAUUUGGAGCCACGAACAUGCUCCCCAGAAUCAAGCGAAGAAUUUGUUAAACCGGGUUUCCCACCUGCGCCCCCAUCCCAGCGAAGAACGCUCGAUUCUAGGGACGCCAGCCGCCCGAGCACAGCCACCCCACGUUCCCAGGCGGGCACAUUGUUAAGAUCAGCGGGCCUUCGUACAAACAUCUUGACUGUGGCUGGUAAUGAAGAUGAGUCUCCUGUCUGUGGGGCGCCUGGUUAGCCACCACUAUGCCCAGUCCACCCCGUCCACCCUGCUACAAGCGGAGGCCAAGAACCGGGUAGCGUGCGCCGCGAGAGGGGGUUGUAUGGGCUGGAGCCACCUGGCUGGCCCUUUCAGGAUUUGUGGCCUUGAGCUGGGCCCUGGUGCUGGAGGUCGGGGAAGUGGAAGGAAGACGGUCUGGCCAGAGAAUGGAAGAACCAUAGGUUCCCUGGGAGCUGUACUUAGGGGACAGUAUGCCCCCGAGAGGCAGUAACCAGUAGUAGUUUUCAGAUGCCUCGAGCUCAGGGACGAACUCUCUUCUCCUGACCCCUCCGGGCUAGCUGCUCAGGGUAGACCCACUCUCUUCCGGAAGGUGGGGGAUGACAGUGAGGGAAUCACUUGCCGUUUGCUUGGCCCAAGGCUCAGACUCUCAGGGUUGACUUUUAAGUUAGUUUCAUAUGAGCUGAGGGGCCUACUUUCAAAAAGGAAGCACCAGACCAUUGGCCUCAACAUUUGAGCAGGAAACAUCAGAGUAGAAAGGGAUUUUGAAAACAGUGUAAAGUUACCUUGAGAAACCAUUCAUUUCAGUACAUUUGUCAGAGGAUACUUUGCUGGUCUUUCAACCCUUAAUGAUCCACGGUGAGAGUUUCAUGGAGUAUGCAAGACAUUGCUCUCCAAUCUGAGUGAAAUUCCAGCUGUGGCCCUGGAAGCCAUGUGGAGAUGUGGGUGCAUUCCUUCAGCUACAGGCACAGAAGCCAGUUCACUUGGCCACUGAAGGUCCUGUUUCCGUGUGAUGUGGAGCCUGAUGAAUAUGUGGCCUCCCCUCUAGGAAUACGCCUGGGCUGCCUUUGCACACACUUACUUCAGCUGGCCUUGAACUCAAAGAUAAUCGCUUCUGUAACAAGCGAAUCACAGCCUCUCCUCCCUGUGCAAACAAGAGAACUAGAUUAGCCCUGAGCUAACAUCCACUGCCAAUCCUGCUCUAUUUGCUGAGGAAGACUGGCCCUGAGCUGACAUCUGUGCCCAUCUUCCUCUACUUUAUAUAUGUGGGAUGCCUGCCACAGCAUAGCUUGCCAAGGGGUUCAUAGGUCCACGUCUGGGAUUUGAACCGGCAAACCCCAGGCUGCCCAAACGGAGCACGCAAACGUAACUGCUGCACCACCGGGCCAGCCCCUUUUUUAC